rnacentral:rRNA from 1 species
UAGGGAAUCUUCCGCAAUGGGCGAAAGCCUGACGGAGCAACGCCGCGUGAGUGAUGAAGGUCUUCGGAUCGUAAAACUCUGUUAUUAGGGAAGAACAUAUGUGUAAGUAACUGUGCACAUCUUGACGGUACCUAAUCAGAAAGCCACGGCUAACUACGUGCCAGCAGCCGCGGUAAUACGUAGGUGGCAAGCGUUAUCCGGAAUUAUUGGGCGUAAAGCGCGCGUAGGCGGUUUUUUAAGUCUGAUGUGAAAGCCCACGGCUCAACCGUGGAGGGUCAUUGGAAACUGGAAAACUUGAGUGCAGAAGAGGAAAGUGGAAUUCCAUGUGUAGCGGUGAAAUGCGCAGAGAUAUGGAGGAACACCAGUGGCGAAGGCGACUUUCUGGUCUGUAACUGACGCUGAUGUGCGAAAGCGUGGGGAUCAAACAGGAUUAGAUACCCUGGUAGUCCACGCCGUAAACGAUGAGUGCUAAGUGUUAGGGGGUUUCCGCCCCUUAGUGCUGCAGCUAACCGCAUUUAAGCACCUCCGCCUUGGGGAAGUACGACCGCAAGGUUG